CCUACGGGUGGCAGCAGUGGGGAAUAAUGGGCAAUGGGCGCAAGCCUGACCGUGCAACGCCGCGUGAAGGAAGGAGGCUUUCGGGUUGUAAACUUCUUGUAAGAGGGAAGAGCAGAAGACGGUACCUCUUGAAUAAGCAACGGCUAACUACGUGCCAGCAGCCGCGGUAAGACGUAGGUGGCAAGCGUUGUCCGGAUUUACUGGCUGUAAAGGGCGUGCAGCCGGGAAGACAAGUAAGUUGUGAGAUACAGCGGCUCAACCCCGGAACUGCAUUUGAAACUGUGUUUCUUGAGUACCGGAGAGGUCAUCGGAAUUCCUUGUGUAGCGGUGAAAUGCGUAGAUAUAGGGAAGAACACUCGUGGCGAAGGCGGAUUACUGGACGUCAACUGACGGUGAGGCGCGAAGGCGUGGGGAGCAAACGGGAUUAGAUACCCCUGUAGUC
rnacentral:rRNA from 1 species